GCAACCUCGCGUCAACUGUCAAAAUGUUUUGAAAAACAAAAUGCUCUUAUUUCGAUGCAUUUCAAGAGUUUUGUUGUGAUAAGAACACUGGAAUAUAGACUAUAAUACUAUCCAACCAUUAAUUAGACUCAUGAUCUUGACAUGGAUCCAAGAUGCUGGUAACUAGGCAGGACGGAUUGUUACACAGAACUGCAGGUUUCUGGAUGGGUAACUAAAUUCCCAUAUUUCCGGUUUACUUGUGUUAUUUAUAAGCAAGAUACAAGUAAAUACACCGCAAGAGCGAAUCAAGUGGAAAUCGUACAUUAUAGACUCUGCGCCAUGUCACAAAUACUUCGGAACCUAGAAUGAAAGUUACCGAAAGAGCAAUAGACUUUCCAAUCUCUACAAAAUUUAUCUUAACUGUUUUUCAAGGUGAUACUUGAGACUACCAAAGACUUUUCAAGGACAGAAUUCACAAAACAGUUUAUGCCACCAUCUCAUAUCAAAGGAUUGUGCUUGAGUUGAACAGCCUUCAAACAGAAACUGUUUCAAAACCUUCAAUGGAUUCAUUCUGAUACAGUUUACCCUUGCUGUGAUGUGAGCAACUAUUUACAUCAAUUCAAAAUUGUAAAUUGUUUAAACUUGAAAAAUCUGUCUUCGUGCAACUUACAUGAAUCUAUUUACUGUGGACUUUGAUGUUGACUCUAUACAGGAAGAAGAUACCAUCUUUAUACAUGCUGGCAUAUCUUUUAAAAAGGAAACAAAUAUUAUAACCAACAUACUACACUGUUAUGAUAUCCAAGGACUCAGCUACUGACUCAAUUUAUAAAUACUUCAAAGGAAAAACGUCUCUGUCAAUGUAAUUACUGCUGUGCAUAAUAAGACAUUUUUUAUUAUGCGCCCCUUCGAAGAAGAGGGGUAUAUAAUUUAUUGCUUUGCACAUGUCGGUCGGUACCAUCUAUAGACCAAAGCUUGUCCGAGUGAUAACUCAACAAUUCCUGGACGUAUGGUCAUCAAACUUGACAUGAAGGUUGGGCCUGACCAGUAGAUGAUUUUAGGGCUCAUCAGGUCAAAGGUCAAGGUCACAGUGACCUUGAAUGGUAAAUUAAUUUUAAAGCUUGUCCGAGUGAUAACUCAACAAUGCCUAGACCUUUCGUCAUCAAACUUGAUAUGGAAGUUGGGCCUCACCAGUAGAUGACCCCUAAAGGUUUUGGGGAUCAUCGAGCCAAAGAUCUAGGUCACAGUGACCUUGAAUGGUAAAAGGUUGUCCAAGUGAUAAAUCAACAAUGCCUGCCCCCUUGGCCCUCAAACUUGACUCGGAGGUUGGGCCUUACCAGUAGAUGACCCCUAUUGAUUUAGGGGUCAAAGGUCAAGGUCAAAAUGAUCUUGAAAGCAAACUCGACAAUUCCUGGACCAAUCAUGCCAUUCAGUCUGAAUGGUCAUCAAACUUGACAUAAAGGUUGGGCCUGACCAGUAGAUGACCCCUCUUGACUUUGAGGGUCAUCAAGCCAAGGUCAAGGUCACAAAAAAAGAUAACAAAUCCUCUCUCAGGGAUAUCUCAACCAUGCCUGAACCUAUGAUCAUCAAACUUGACAUGGAAGUUGGUCCUGACAAGGAGAUGACGCUUAUUGAUUUUAGGAGUCAUUGGGUCAAAGGUCAAGUUCACAGUGACGUUGAAUGUGAAAAUGUUUCGAGUGAUAACUUGACAAUGCCUGUACCUAUGGCCCUCAAAUCUGACUUGGAGUUGUGUCUGGCCUGUAGAUGAGUCCCUUUCAUUUUAGGGGUCAUCGGGUCAAACGUCAAGGUCACAGUGCCAUUGAUUGAAAAAAGCUUGUCUGUGUGAUAACAUGUCAAUGCCUGAACCCAUGUCCCUCAAACUUGACAUUUAGAUUUUUGUAGACCAGCUGAUGACUCAUGGAUUUUGAGGUCAUAGAGUCAAAGGUCAUGGUCAUAACACACUCUAUCCUCACACUUUGAAUGGUCAUAAUCUUCAAACUGCCUCAACGGCAUCCAAUGUCAGUGACUAAUCAGCUGUCAUUUCGGUCCAUACUUAUUUCAUUCAAUUGUUCAUAUAAUCCUGACAACAUGGCGCUCAGGUGGGGGCAUAAUGUUUGACAAACAUCUCUUGUUGAUACUUGGCUCAUUUCUUACAUGUAGCUGUAACAUUUUGGGCAACUUCUCAAUUAUUUUGUUUAAGACAUUUUUCAUCCAGGUCAUCUAAGCCUAAGUUAGUGUUCAUGUUAACUUUUAUGACUGCCUGUUUAUUGUACUUUUUAUAAAUUAUUUUAAUGACUUUUUCUCAAGAACCAUUUGGCUAAGUAUGUCUCCUCCUGAAAUAGACUAAUUCUUUUAGCUCCAGUUGUCUGUCUGUCCGUCUGUAAAAAAUUGUGUCCGCUCCAUGUCUCUUUGACCUUUUGAAGGAUUUGAUAUAAAUUCCCACAAAUGUACACCAUAUUGAGAGGAAGGGUUUAUCACUAUAACUGUUGAGCAGUUUCUGAACUUGACUGUAUUAUAUCUUGCAUUUACCUCAAGCUGUUAAGUGAACAAUAUAACAUUGACCAACACAAGGAACUAAACCUUCUAGGUCACCAUUUUGGAAUAAAGUAAUACUUAAAGCUCAUAUUUCCAUAAGAAUCUGCUCAUAUACAGAUUAAAUAACUUAUACAAGUAUAUCAAUUCAACAUAACAUCAGAUCCUCCACUGUUUUAUGUUUGCAACAUUUUUAUUUAAACUUUGAUUAAUAUAUCAAGACUUUUAUGAACACAUACCAAACAGCAACUCACAGAUCUAUACUCAUUUGGGCAGAAUUUUGUAAAUCCAAGCAUUGUCAUUUGAUAUUCAAUGCUUUUUGGCAAAUUGGGGCAUUUUCUGUCACAUUAAAAUCAAUAUUAACAAUAAAUCUCCAACUUCAAUAUUCUCAUAUUUUUGUGCCCAUUCGUUGCCAAUUAUUUGUUUGUCUUUUGGUAUACAUGUAUUCAUACUGUUUUUCAAAAUAACGAAUUAAUAAAAUGUUUGAAAUA